rnacentral:rRNA from 1 species
GGUGUGUACAAGGCCCGGGAACGUAUUCACCGCGGCAUGCUGAUCCGCGAUUACUAGCGAUUCCAGCUUCACGCAGUCGAGUUGCAGACUGCGAUCCGAACUGAGAACAGAUUUAUGGGAUUGGCUAAACCUUGCGGUCUCGCAGCCCUUUGUUCUGUCCAUUGUAGCACGUGUGUAGCCCAGGUCAUAAGGGGCAUGAUGAUUUGACGUCAUCCCCACCUUCCUCCGGUUUGUCACCGGCAGUCACCUUAGAGUGCCCAACUAAAUGCUGGCAACUAAGAUCAAGGGUUGCGCUCGUUGCGGGACUUAACCCAACAUCUCACGACACGAGCUGACGACAACCAUGCACCACCUGUCACUCUGUCCCCGAAGGGAAAGCCCUAUCUCUAGGGUUGUCAGAGGAUGUCAAGACCUGGUAAGGUUCUUCGCGUUGCUUCGAAUUAAACCACAUGCUCCACCGCUUGUGCGGGCCCCCGUCAAUUCCUUUGAGUUUCAGUCUUGCGACCGUACUCCCCAGGCGGAGUGCUUAAUGCGUUAGCUGCAGCACUAAGGGGCGGAAACCCCCUAACACUUAGCACUCAUCGUUUACGGCGUGGACUACCAGGGUAUCUAAUCCUGUUCGCUCCCCACGCUUUCGCUCCUCAGCGUCAGUUACAGACCAGAGAGUCGCCUUCGCCACUGGUGUUCCUCCACAUCUCUACGCAUUUCACCGCUACACGUGGAAUUCCACUCUCCUCUUCUGCACUCAAGUUUCCCAGUUUCCAAUGACCCUCCCCGGUUGAGCCGGGGGCUUUCACAUCAGACUUAAGAAACCGCCUGCGAGCCCUUUACGCCCAAUAAUUCCGGACAACGCUUGCCACCUACGUAUUACCGCGGCUGCUGGCACGUAGUUAGCCGUGGCUUUCUGGUUAGGUACCGUCAAGGUGCGAGCAGUUACUCUCGCACUUGUUCUUCCCUAACAACAGAGCUUUACGAUCCGAAAACCUUCAUCACUCACGCGGCGUUGCUCCGUCAGACUUUCGUCCAUUGCGGA